rnacentral:sRNA from 2 species
ACCUACCGCUGCCAAUCUAUCUAUCACUGCUAAUCUAUCGCUGCUAAUCUAUUGCUGCUAAUCUAUCACUGCCAAUCUACCUACCACUGCCAACCUACCUACCACUGCCAACCUAUCUAUCACUGCCAAUCUAUAUAGAGUAAAUCAUGGUUUCAUUUGGUCCCAUUUUGUAAAAUGGGAUCAAAUGGAAUCAGAAUCACUAAUUUAUUAGUAAAACAUGAUCUGAGACUAGAUUUAUAAUAUAAACAGUGUAAAGUGACUAAUUUACUAAACACUAUAUGAGACCAGGACUAAGAUAUCUAAUAAUGAGAC